GGAGAAUUACUCAAGGGGCUGAAGAGGACGGUUUGCUAAAUCGUUAGGUCGGGAAACCGGCGCGGGGGUUCGAAUCCCCCAUUCUCCG
rnacentral:tRNA from 1 species